rnacentral:sRNA from 1 species
CAAUAAGCGGAGGAAAAGAAACUAACAAGGAUUCCCCUAGUAACUGCGAGUGAAGCGGGAAAAGCUCAAAUUUAAAAUCUGGCGGUCUCCGGCCGUCCGAGUUGUAAUCUAGAGAAGUGUUAUCCGCGCUGGACCGUGUACAAGUCUCCUGGAAUGGAGCGUCAUAGAGGGUGAGAAUCCCGUCUUUGACACGGACUGCCAGGGCUUUGUGAUGCGCUCUCAAAGAGUCGAGUUGUUUGGGAAUGCAGCUCAAAAUGGGUGGUAAAUUCCAUCUAAAGCUAAAUAUUGGCGAGAGACCGAUAGCGAACAAGUACCGUGAGGGAAAGAUGAAAAGAACUUUGGAAAGAGAGUUAAACAGUACGUGAAAUUGCUGAAAGGGAAACGCUUGAAGUCAGUCGCGUUGGCCGGGGAUCAACCUUGCUUUUGCUGGGCGUACUUUCCGGUUGACGGGUCAGCAUCAAUUUUGACCGUUGGAUAAAGUCUAGGGGAAUGUGGCAUCUUCGGAUGUGUUAUAGCCCUUGGUCGCAUACAACGGUUGGGAUUGAGGAACUCAGCACGCCGCAAGGCCGGGUACUUGUACCACGUUCGUGCUUAGGAUGCUGGCAUAAUGGCUUUAAUCGACCCGUCUUGAAACACGGACCAAGGAGUCUAACAUGCCUGCGAGUGUUUGGGUGGAAAACUCGGACGCGUAAUGAAAGUGAAAGUUGAGAUCCCUGUCGCGGGGAGCAUCGACGCCCGGACCAGACCUUUUGUGACGGAUCCGCGGUAGAGCAUGUAUGUUGGGACCCGAAAGAUGGUGAACUAUGCCUGAAUAGGGUGAAGCCAGAGGAAACUCUGGUGGAGGCUCGUAGCGAUUCUGACGUGCAAAUCGAUCGUCAAAUUUGGGUAUAGGGGCGAAAGACUAAUCGAACCAUCUAGUAGCUGGUUCCUGC